rnacentral:rRNA from 1 species
AGAACGAACGCUGGCGGCAGGCUUAACACAUGCAAGUCGAACGCUCGUAGCGAUACGAGAGUGGCAGACGGGUGAGUAACACGUGGGAACGUUCCCCUCGGUUCGGAAUAACUCAGGGAAACUUGAGCUAAUACCGGAUACGUCCGCGAGGAGAAAGAUUCAUCGCCGAGGGAUCGGCCCGCGUCUGAUUAGCUAGUUGGUGAGGUAACGGCUCACCAAGGCGACGAUCAGUAGCUGGUCUGAGAGGAUGAUCAGCCUCACUGGGACUGAGACACGGCCCAGACUCCUACGGGAGGCAGCAGUGGGGAAUAUUGGACAAUGGGCGCAAGCCUGAUCCAGCCAUGCCGCGUGGAUGAUGAAGGCCUUAGGGUUGUAAAGUCCUUCGACGGGAAGAUAAUGACGGUACCGAGUUAAGAAGCCCGGCUAACUCGUGCCAGCAGCCGC